rnacentral:rRNA from 1 species
UACGUAGGUCCCGAGCGUUAUCCGGAUUUAUUGGGCGUAAAGCGAGCGCAGGUGGUUUAUUAAGUCUGGUGUAAAAGGCAGUGGCUCAACCAUUGUAUGCAUUGGAAACUGGUAGACUUGAGUGCAGGAGAGGAGAGUGGAAUUCCAUGUGUAGCAGUGAAAUGCGUAGAUAUAUGGAGGAACACCAGUGGCGAAAGCGGCUCUCUGGCCUAUAACUGACACUGAGGCUCGAAAGCGUGGGGAGCAAACAGG